rnacentral:rRNA from 1 species
UACGGGGGGAGCAAGCGUUGUUCGGAUUUACUGGGCGUAAAGGGCGCGUAGGCGGUCAGCACAAGUCAGUUGUGAAAUCUCCGAGCUUAACUCGGAAAGGUCAACUGAUACUGUGCGACUAGAGUGCGGAAGGGGCAACUGGAAUUCUUGGUGUAGCGGUGAAAUGCGUAGAUAUCAAGAGGAACACCUGCGGCGAAGGCGGGUUGCUGGGCCGACACUGACGCUGAGGCGCGAAAGCUAGGGGAGCAAACAGG